rnacentral:rRNA from 1 species
GAAGCGAAGCAGCGAUGUGAAGCAAAUCGCACCAAAGCCGGUCCCAGUUCGGAUAAGAGGCUGAAACUCGCCUCUUUGAAGUCGGAAUCGCUAGUAAUCGCAGAUCAGCAUGUUGCGGUGAAUACGUUUCCUGGUCUUGUACACACCGCCCGUCGAACCAUGAGAGUCGCCAACACCCGAAGUCCGCUUUGCGGCCUAAGGUGGGGGAGAUGAUUGGGGUUAAGUCGUAACAAGGUACC